AUGAACGCUAGCUACAGGCUUAACACAUGCAAGUCGAGGGGCAGCAUGGUCUUAGCUUGCUAAGGCCGAUGGCGACCGGCGCACGGGUGAGUAACACGUAUCCAACCUGCCGUCUACUCUUGGACAGCCUUCUGAAAGGAAGAUUAAUACAAGAUGGCAUCAUGAGUCCGCAUGUUCACAUGAUUAAAGGUAUUCCGGUAGACGAUGGGGAUGCGUUCCAUUAGAUAGUAGGCGGGGUAACGGCCCACCUAGUCUUCGAUGGAUAGGGGUUCUGAGAGGAAGGUCCCCCACAUUGGAACUGAGACACGGUCCAAACUCCUACGGGAGGCAGCAGUGAGGAAUAUUGGUCAAUGGGCGAGAGCCUGAACCAGCCAAGUAGCGUGAAGGAUGACUGCCCUAUGGGUUGUAAACUUCUUUUAUAAAGGAAUAAAGUCGGGUAUGGAUACCCGUUUGCAUGUACUUUAUGAAUAAGGAUCGGCUAACUCCGUGCCAGCAGCCGCGGUAAUACGGAGGAUCCGAGCGUUAUCCGGAUUUAUUGGGUUUAAAGGGAGCGUAGAUGGAUGUUUAAGUCAGUUGUGAAAGUUUGCGGCUCAACCGUAAAAUUGCAGUUGAUACUGGAUAUCUUGAGUGCAGUUGAGGCAGGCGGAAUUCGUGGUGUAGCGGUGAAAUGCUUAGAUAUCACGAAGAACUCCGAUUGCGAAGGCAGCCUGCUAAGCUGCAACUGACAUUGAGGCUCGAAAGUGUGGGUAUCAAACAGGAUUAGAUACCCUGGUAGUCCACACGGUAAACGAUGAAUACUCGCUGUUUGCGAUAUACUGCAAGCGGCCAAGCGAAAGCGUUAAGUAUUCCACCUGGGGAGUACGCCGGCAACGGUGAAACUCAAAGGAAUUGACGGGGGCCCGCACAAGCGGAGGAACAUGUGGUUUAAUUCGAUGAUACGCGAGGAACCUUACCUGGGUUUAAAUGGGAAAUGUCGUAUUUGGAAACAGAUAUUCUCUUCGGAGCGUUUUUCAAGGUGCUGCAUGGUUGUCGUCAGCUCGUGCCGUGAGGUGUCGUGUUAAGUCCCAUAACGAGCGCAACCCUUGUUGUCAGUUACUAACAGGUUCCGCUGAGGACUCUGACAAGACUGCCAUCGUAAGAUGUGAGGAAGGUGGGGAUGACGUCAAAUCAGCACGGCCCUUACGUCCGGGGCUACACACGUGUUACAAUGGGGGGUACAGAGGGCCGCUACCACGCGAGUGGAUGCCAAUCCCCAAAACCUCUCUCAGUUCGGACUGGAGUCUGCAACCCGACUCCACGAAGCUGGAUUCGCUAGUAAUCGCGCAUCAGCCACGGCGCGGUGAAUACGUUCCCGGGCCUUGUACACACCGCCCGUCAAGCCAUGGGAGCCGGGGGUACCUGAAGUGCGUAACCGCGAGGAGCGCCCUAGGGUAAAACUGGUGACUGGGGCU
rnacentral:rRNA from 1 species